UCCCUAGCUGGUCUGAGAGGAUGACCAGCCACACUGGAACUGAGACACGGUCCAGACUCCUACGGGAGGCAGCAGUGGGGAAUAUUGCACAAUGGGCGCAAGCCUGAUGCAGCCAUGCCGCGUGUAUGAAGAAGGCCUUCGGGUUGUAAAGUACUUUCAGCGGGGAGGAAGGUGUUGUGGUUAAUAACCGCAGCAAUUGACGUUACCCGCAGAAGAAGCACCGGCUAACUCCGUGCCAGCAGCCGCGGUAAUACGGAGGGUGCAAGCGUUAAUCGGAAUUACUGGGCGUAAAGCGCACGCAGGCGGUCUGUCAAGUCGGAUGUGAAAUCCCCGGGCUCAACCUGGGAACUGCAUUCGAAACUGGCAGGCUUGAGUCUUGUAGAGGGGGGUAGAAUUCCAGGUGUAGCGGUGAAAUGCGUAGAGAUCUGGAGGAAUACCGGUGGCGAAGGCGGCCCCCUGGACAAAGACUGACGCUCAGGUGCGAAAGCGUGGG
rnacentral:rRNA from 1 species